AAUAAAAGUGUAUAAAAACAAACCAAAAAUUCAACACGGAAAUUAUUGAAAACAAAACAAAAACUACGGCAGAAAAAAGUGUGAGCUAUAAAAUGCGUAUGUUGAAAAGUGUAAUUGUUGUUGUUGGUGCGCUAAAGAAUUUUAUGUGGAAAUUGUGAAAUAUAUUUAAUGGAAAUGUGCCCCCAAGAAAUUGAACCAGAAAUCAGGCCAGCGAAUAUAUGAAUAGUGUUUCGAGUACAUCAGAAACUAAACUGAAAAUAUUAUAUAUAGUAUAUGCAUAAUCUAAUUUUAUUGAUGAACUUAGAAGAUAACAAUCGCUAUUCAAGUGAUUUGUGAUUUGUGUGCUGUUGCCCCUAAGUUAUUUGUUCGUUAAGCACGGCACGUCAUUUGGCACCUGUUCGGCAAGUUUCUUGAAAAGUGUUUAAAAAAUAAUUUAAAGCUAUUUAUGCUAACGAGCAGCUGGAAAAUAAAGGAGGAGCUGCCGAGCGAAGGCUGAGGGCUGAGAGCUGAGAUCGGAGGCCUUACCCAACUUGCCGUUGGCCUAAUCCCCUUUGGAAAGUGAAAGUAACUCGAGCUGAAAGCCACUUGUGGGAAUUGGGUUAUCUCUACAUUGAAGCAGCCUACAGGAAGAGGAAUAAGACACAGCACCGCGACAAUCAGAGCACAGCAAACACCCUGAACAGAACAUUCAGCUACUUAUCUAUACAUAUAUAUAUAUAGAUUUAAAGCCUGACACAAUAAUAGUUCGGAGGAGUCUUUAAGUGCGGCGGCAACGGCAGCGACAUCAAGAAUUACGGCAAACAGCCGUGAGCACAAAACAUUUAUUAAGCUGACCGCAAAUACCGUUUUAUUAAGCAUACGCCACAUUAGCCCGUAGGCUGGCAGGGAUGGACGGACGGACGGCCAAGCGCACAUCAAAUUAGUAAUCAAGCAUCACAAAAGCAACGCCCAGGGCCGACGUACACGGAAUAAGCCUUGGCUGAGUCGUCUCCGGCUUUGGCUUCGGCUUCGGCUCCGGCUCCGACUACGGGUCCGGGUCUGGGUCUGCCUGGAAGCUCAACUGCGAGGCAGACAGAACUAAUAAGACGACUUUAUUUUUAUUGAAAUUAUGAUUAA